GCAGCAGUGGUUCAGUGGUAGAAUUCUCACCUUCCAUGCAGGAGACCCUGGGUUCAAUUCCUGGCCAGUGCA
rnacentral:tRNA from 1 species